AUUCACAGCUGAGUGGACUGAGACAAUGCAAAUUAAGUGCCUUGUCCAAAGACAAAGACAGGUAGCACGAGCAGGUCAAAAAACAGGUCUA